rnacentral:rRNA from 1 species
GACGAACGCUGGCGGCGCGCCUAACACAUGCAAGUCGAACGAGCGAGAGAGAGCUUGCUUUCUUGAGCGAGUGGCGAACGGGUGAGUAACGCGUGAGGAACCUGCCUCAAAGAGGGGGACAACAGUUGGAAACGCCUGCUAAUACCGCAUAAGCCCACGGUGCCGCAUGGCACAGAGGGAAAAGGAGCAGUACGAUUUGAGAUGGCCUCGCGUCCGAUUAGCUAGUUGGGGAGGUAACGGGCCACCAAAGCGACGCUCGGUAGCCGGAAUGAGAGGUUGAACGGCCACAUUGGGACUGAGACACGGCCCAGACUCCUACGGGAGGGAGCAGUGGGGAAUAUUGCACAAUGGGGGAAACCCUGAUGCAGCGAGGCCGCGUGGAGGAAGAAGGUCUUCGGAUUGUAAACUCCUGUUGUUGGGGAAGAUAAUGACGGUACCCAACAAGGAAGUGACGGCUAACUACGUG